rnacentral:rRNA from 1 species
UGGGGAAUAUUGGACAAUGGGCGCAAGCCUGAUCCAGCCAUGCCGCGUGAGUGAUGAAGGCCUUCGGGUCGUAAAGCUCUGUCGGAGGGAACGAAUGCUCCUGAAGUUAACAGCCUCAGGAGGUGACGGUACCCUCAAAGGAAGCACCGGCUAACUCUGUGCCAGCAGCCGCGGUAAUACGUAGGGACCAAGCGUUGUUCGGAUUUACUGGGCGUAAAGGGCGCGUAGGCGGCAUGACAAGUCACUUGUGAAAUCUCUGGGCUUAACCCAGAACGGCCAAGUGAUACUGUCGCGCUAGAGUGCAGAAGGGGCAAUCGGAAUUCUUGGUGUAGCGGUGAAAUGCGUAGAUAUCAAGGGGAACACCUGGGGUGAAGACGGGUUGCUGGGCUGACACUGACGCUGAGGCGCGAAAGCCAGGGGAGCAAACGGGAUUAGAUACCCCCGUAGUCCCUGAGCGGGCUGGCAAGGCGCAU